rnacentral:rRNA from 1 species
GUUCGGUUAAGUCCGCUAACGAGCGCAACCCUCGCUGUAUGUUACAUGUGUCAUACAGGACCGCCGGUAUCAAGCCGGAGGAAGGUGGGGAUGACGUCAAGUCCGCAUGGCCUUUAUGUCCGGGGCUGCACACACGCUACAAUGGUCGGUACAAUGGGUUGCUAAGCCGCGAGGUGGAGCCAAUCCCCCAAAGCCGGCCUCAGUUCAGAUUGCAGGCUGCAACUCGCCUGCAUGAAGCUGGAGUUGCUAGUAAACGCGCGUCAGCUAUAGUGCGUUGAAUACGUUCUCGGGCCUU